rnacentral:rRNA from 3 species
GGUCAAGCGAAUAAGCGCACACGGUGGAUGCCUAGGCGGUCAGAGGCGAUGAAGGACGUGGUAGCCUGCGAAAAGUGUCGGGGAGCUGGCAACAAGCUUUGAUCCGGCAAUAUCCGAAUGGGGAAACCCACUGCUUCGGCAGUAUCCUGCAGUGAAUUCAUAGCUGCUGGAAGCGAACCCGGUGAACUGAAAUAUCUAAGUAACCGGAGGAAAAGAAAUCAACCGAGAUUCCCUAAGUAGUGACGAGCGAACGGGGAGCAGCCCUUAAGCUGGAAUGGCUUUAGAAAAACAAUCUGGAAAGAUUGGCCAUAGAAGGUGAUAGCCCUGUAUUUAAAAGGGCCACUCCAGUGAAGACGAGUAGGGCGGGGCACGUGAAACCCUGUCUGAAUAUGGGGGGACCAUCCUCCAAGGCUAAAUACUCCUGACCGACCGAUAGUGAACCAGUACCGUGAGGGAAAGGCGAAAAGAACCCCGGAGAGGGGAGUGAAAUAGAUCCUGAAACCGUGUGCGUACAAGCAGUAGGAGCUCGCAAGAGUGACUGCGUACCUUUUGUAUAAUGGGUCAGCGACUUACUGUUCGUGGCAAGCUUAACCGUAUAGGGGAGGCGAAGGGAAACCGAGUCUGAUAAGGGCGCAUAGUCGCGGGCAGUAGACCCGAAACCGGGUGAUCUAGUCAUGGCCAGGGUGAAGGUGCCGUAACAGGUACUGGAGGCCCGAACCCACGUCUGUUGCAAAAGACGGGGAUGAGCUGUGAUUAGGAGUGAAAAGCUAAUCGAACCCGGAGAUAGCUGGUUCUCCUCGAAAGCUAUUUAGGUAGCGCCUCGGACGAAUACUACUGGGGGUAGAGCACUGUUAUGGCUAGGGGGUCAUCGCGACUUACCAAACCAUUGCAAACUCCGAAUACCAGUACGUACUAUCCGGGAGACACACGGCGGGUGCUAACGUCCGUCGUGAAAAGGGAAACAACCCAGACCCACAGCUAAGGUCCCAAAUUCACUGCUAAGUGGAAAACGAUGUGGAAAGGCAUAGACAGCCAGGAGGUUGGCUUAGAAGCAGCCACCCUUUAAAGAAAGCGUAAUAGCUCACUGGUCGAGUCGGUCUGCGCGGAAGAUUUAACGGGGCUAAGCAGUGAACCGAAGCUUGGGGUGCAUAAAACUUGUUUUAUGCGCGGUAGAGGAGCGUUCCGUAAGCCUGCGAAGGUGGAUUGAGAAGUCUGCUGGAGGUAUCGGAAGUGCGAAUGCUGACAUGAGUAACGAUAAUGCGGGUGAAAAGCCCGCACGCCGAAAGCCCAAGGUUUCCUUGCGCAACGUUAAUCGACGCAGGGUUAGUCGGUCCCUAAGGCGAGGGCGAAAGCCGUAGUCGAUGGGAAGCAGGUUAAUAUUCCUGCACCUCGCGUGAGUGCGAUGGAGGGACGGAGAAGGUUAGGUGUACCGGGCGUUGGUUGUCCCGGGGAAAGGCGGUAGGUUUGGAUCUUUGGCAAAUCCGGGAUCCUUUAAGACCGAGCACCGAGACGAGCCUUUAUGGCGAAGUCACUGAUACCACGCUUCCAGGAAAAGCUCCUAAGCUUCAGCUCACGAAGACCGUACCGUAAACCGACACAGGUGGGUAGGAUGAGAAUUCUCAGGCGCUUGAGAGAACUCGGGUGAAGGAACUAGGCAACAUGGCACCGUAACUUCGGGAGAAGGUGCACCCUUUUUGGUGGCUCAUGCGAGCUAUAGCUGAAGAGGGUCGCAGAAACCAGGCCGCUGCGACUGUUUAUCAAAAACACAGCACUCUGCAAACACGAAAGUGGACGUAUAGGGUGUGACGCCUGCCCGGUGCUGGAAGGUUAAUUGAUGGGGUCAGCCGCAAGGCGAAGCUCUUGAUCGAAGCCCCAGUAAACGGCGGCCGUAACUAUAACGGUCCUAAGGUAGCGAAAUUCCUUGUCGGGUAAGUUCCGACCUGCACGAAUGGCGUAACGACAGCGGCGCUGUCUCCACCCGAGACUCAGUGAAAUUGAAAUCGCUGUGAAGAUGCAGCGUUCCCGUGGCAAGACGGAAAGACCCCGUGAACCUUUACUAUAGCUUUACACUGAACGUUGAGUUCGUCUGUGUAGGAUAGGUGGGAGGCUAUGAAACUGUGGCGCUAGCUGCAGUGGAGCCAUCCUUGAAAUACCACCCUGUCGUGCUUGACGUUCUAACCUAGGUCCGUUAUCCGGAUCAGGGACCGUGUAUGGUGGGUAGUUUGACUGGGGCGGUCUCCUCCUAAAGAGUAACGGAGGAGCACGAAGGUACGCUCAGCGCGGUCGGACAUCGCGCACUGUGUGCAAAGGCAUAAGCGUGCUUGACUGCAAGAUCGACGGAUCAAGCAGGUACGAAAGUAGGUCUUAGUGAUCCGGUGGUUCUGUAUGGAAGGGCCAUCGCUCAACGGAUAAAAGGUACUCCGGGGAUAACAGGCUGAUACCGCCCAAGAGUUCAUAUCGACGGCGGUGUUUGGCACCUCGAUGUCGGCUCAUCACAUCCUGGGGCUGUAGUCGGUCCCAAGGGUAUGGCUGUUCGCCAUUUAAAGUGGUACGCGAGCUGGGUUCAGAACGUCGUGAGACAGUUCGGUCCCUAUCUGCCAUGGGCGUUGGAAGUUUGAGAGGGGCUGCUCCUAGUACGAGAGGACCGGAGUGGACGAACCUCUGGUGUUCCGGUUGUCACGCCAGUGGCAUUGCCGGGUAGCUAUGUUCGGAAGCGAUAACCGCUGAAAGCAUCUAAGCGGGAAGCGCGCCUCAAGAUGAGACUUCCCGGGGCACAAGCCCCCUAAAGGAACCAUGUAGACUACGUGGUUGAUAGGUCAGGUGUGUAAGUACAGCAAUGUAUUGAGCUAACUGAUACUAAUGAUCCGUGCGGCUUGACCAU